AGAGGCAAUGGGACAAGGACCUUUCGAGUGUUAAUGGUAUGAGGGAAGCUAGGUGAGGUAGGUAACCAAAGUAGAUAGUAACCUAAGGGUGUGCAACGACAACCCGAACAGUCUUAGCAGACAAAGAAGUGAAGUCAGUAGGUAGUAAGUUGAAUAAAACUCGGCCUAAUGGAUUCGAAUAUGCUUGAUGGGAGAAAGAAAUAAGGGAUAAU
rnacentral:misc_RNA from 1 species